rnacentral:rRNA from 1 species
UACGUAGGGGGCGAGCGUUGUCCGGAGUUACUGGGCGUAAAGAGCUCGUAGGCGGUCUGUCGCGUCGGCUGUGAAAACCCGGAGCUCAACUCCGGGCCUGCAGUCGAUACGGGCAAACUGGAGUGUUGCAGGGGAGACUGGAAUUCCUGGUGUAGCGGUGAAAUGCGCAGAUAUCAGGAGGAACACCGGUGGCGAAGGCGGGUCUCUGGGCAGUAACUGACGCUGAGGAGCGAAAGCGUGGGGAGCGAACAGG